GCCUAAACCAGAGUCACAUCGUGACACAGCAAUUGUCCUGGUGUGCUGGAAUCCUCAGAGAGAACUGCUGGUCUUGAGUUAUAGACAGGAACAGCCAGUGUCCCUGUUGGUGUCCUACCCAGAUCCUAGA
ensembl:snoRNA